AUGAUUCGGCAGGCACAUUAGUUCUCGAGCUUUAUUUUAUUGUUAUUUAUGAUUCAAACUUUCAGAAUUUUUUCAGUCAAAUCCCACAAUCCAAUUUAAUUGACUAAUUUUACCACAUUGCUGAUAUAAAAAGUAUUGUAAUAUUUUAAUUAUUGACACAUUAUCAAUCACAACAAUAGCGGUACAUUAAUACUCAGCCAGAUAAAUCGAAUUAUAUAACUUGAUUACAAUAAUAAAUUAAAAUUUGAGAACCAAAACGACACUAGCCUCAUAGUUUAACUACA
rnacentral:lncRNA from 1 species